rnacentral:rRNA from 1 species
GCGAUAGAUCUUUCAAGUUUCUGACCUAUCAGCUUUCGACGGUAGGGUAUUGGCCUACCGUGGCAGUGACGGGUAACGGGGAAUUAGGGUUCGAUUCCGGAGAGGGAGCCUGAGAAACGGCUACCACAUCUAAGGAAGGCAGCAGGCGCGCAAAUUACCCAAUGAAAACAGUUUCGAGGUAGUGACGAGAAAUAACAAUACAGGGCAUUUUAUGCUUUGUAAUUGGAAUGAUGGGAAUUUAAACCCCUUUCAGAGUAACAAUUGGAGGGCAAGUCUGGUGCCAGCAGCCGCGGUAAUUCCAGCUCCAAUAGCGUAUAUUAGAGUUGUUGCAGUUAAAAAGCUCGUAGUUGGAUUUCUGUCGUGGUCUUCCGGUUCCGCCCCUGUGGGUGUUUACUUGGUCUGCCCUCGGCAUUCUUCCGUUUCCCCUCGCGCUUCAUGCGUGUUUGGUUUUCGGAACUUUUACUUUGAGAAAAAUAGAGUGUUUCAAGCAGGCUUGUCGCCUUGAAUACUUCAGCAUGGAAUAAUAAGAUAGGACUUUGGUUCUAUUUUGUUGGUUUCUAGGACUAAGGUAAUGAUUAAUAGGGACAG